rnacentral:rRNA from 1 species
UACGUAGGGCGCAAGCGUUGUCCGGAAUUAUUGGGCGUAAAGAGCUCGUAGGCGGCCAGUUGCGUCCGCUGUGAAAUCCCGGGGCUUAACCCCGGGCGUGCAGUGGAUACGGGCUGGCUAGAGGCAGGCAGGGGAGAACGGAAUUCCCGGUGUAGCGGUGAAAUGCGCAGAUAUCGGGAGGAACACCGGUGGCGAAGGCGGUUCUCUGGGCCUGUACUGACGCUGAGGUGCGAAAGCGUGGGGAGCAAACAGG